UGCCAGCCGCCGCGGUAAUACGGAGGGUGCAAGCGUUAAUCGGAAUUACUGGGCGUAAAGCGCGCGUAGGUGGAUUGGUCAGUCAGAUGUGAAAGCCCCGGGCUCAACCUGGGAACUGCACCUGAUACUGCCAGUCUUGAGUACAGUAGAGGCCAGUGGAAUUUCCUGUGUAGCGGUGAAAUGCGUAGAUAUAGGAAGGAACACCAGUGGCGAAGGCGACUACCUGGACCGAUAUUGACACUGAGGUGCGAAAGCAUGGGGAGCGAACAGGAUUAGAUA
rnacentral:rRNA from 1 species